CUUAUCUCGUGCACUGAGAAGUGGAAAAGGUUCUGUAUUACAGCUCAGCAUGUGUGCCCUGCUUCACCCACACCGUUAUCCACCAAGAUAAGACUCUACCUUGAAGCAGGAAAAAUGGGAUUAUCCAGAAAAGCUUCAUAUUUGUAUGUGUGCUGGGGUGGAUCAUGCCUUUGCCAGUGUUUCUUCAGUAAGCAGAUGUCUGGGAAAGAGAAAGGGAUGAGACGUGAGGGGUAAGGUAACCUCUGCUAGCUUCCACCAUACAGUGCCACUGGUUUUAUUAGAGGGAGCCCUGAAAGUUACACAGGUUAUUUACUCAGAGGGACUGGAGAUAGCAGGCCAGCAUGUUUCCCCUCUAAUGUCUACAGCAGAUGAAAGGAGACUAAACCACAAGUAGAGAUGAUCUUUUAAAUGACUGUGCUCAUGCUGAUUCCCCUCUCUGCUCCAGCUCUGUAUUCAGACCUGAUGUACCCCUGCAGCUGUGGCAUCUGUUUUCUCCUCUGAAUAGAACACUCUUCGUGGACAGUGACUACCUGCUGCCAAUCCAGGGAUGGCAGAAUAAGGGCGUGGAGAUGAGGAACUGGUGGGCUCAGCUCCCAGAGGAGGAAAAGCCAGCAUGCCAUUGAGGCAAAGAUAGCUAUAAAUUAACCCAGGAGCAGGAAUGUCCGUUCAUCUCCAUUAACUCACCAGAAACACGCUGUUCCAGCAGAGAGGAAGCUACAUUUCUUCUUUAAGCCCUGCUGUCUGAAGAUGUCUCCUCCAAGCAGCCUUCAGUGCCUCACCACGGUGACAAGGUUGCCUUUCCUCCUACUCUUGGUACGCUACGAGCUGUGAUUCAUUCUGCUCCUGAGUCAUGUCUGAAGGCCAGUCCAACAGGUGAGGUUCACUCCAGCCCCUGGAAAAAACACACCUCUUUAGUGGGUCCAUUUACAUGAGGUGAAUGACCUUUUCCCAAAGAAUGAACCAUAGGAACUUUCAGCUUAUUUGCUCAAGCUAUUGGCCUAAUCAGUAUUAAGAGAGCAUGCCGAGUAGAAUGACACUCAGUAAUAAGUUACCCUGUGGUUAAAGCAAAUGAUAACGUUCACUCUGCCUGGCUCUGUCCUCAUUGCGUAAAGGAAGCAUGUCCUGAUAAAGCCCUUUUUUUUCCUUUAGUGAAUGGUCAUUCUAAGGCUCUAAGAGCAUCUCACAAGAGCGACUGACUUUGCAGGCAAAGCACUCACUGGAGAUUCUGCCAUCCCUGUUUUGCAGGUACUGGCAACAGCUGACUAAGGCAACAGCUUGCUAAAAGGCUUUACAGUGUCACAAGGCUUUCUGAGCCAGCCACAUUGGCAAAGGAGGAUUCCUCCUCCCUGAACUAUCUGACCCGUGGCUGGAGCUGCAUACUGCAGAGCAAGCUAGGGACCUCUCAGUGCCAGGCUUGGAGCACACCGCUAGCACUGGUUAGCUAAGGUUAAUAGGAGAUGGGCACAGUAUCCUCACGUUUGUCAAGCUCUUGGUAUUUUACAAGCUUGAAAUAAAGUGUCUCUGGCACCGAAGCCAUG
rnacentral:lncRNA from 1 species